AACACCUUUCCUCCCAAGCAAUACAACGCUGUUUAUGUGUAAUUUACUAGAUAUGUAAAGGUCAAUGUUCCGAGGUGUUAUAUAGUGCUACCAAGACCUUACCUUCCCCCAAAUACUCCAGACCAUUCCCCUGUUAAUAUCUCUCAUCAGUAGAGCAACCUUCCAAGGUUGUCAAGAGAUACUAACCUCAAUACCAUCACAUCAUUCGACCUAAAUAUAAGUCCCAACACCAAACCGCAGACAGCUAUAUGCCAUCAGAAUCCAUACACAGUUUAGGAAACGAAUGAAUCUACAUUAAAGUGCAACAAAACUCAUCAUCUCUAGUCAUAGUCUCCCAUCACAAAAGAGAGACCCCAGAGUCACACAAAACCAAAUAAAUUUAUAGGAGUAAACAGUAACUUAGCAGUCAAACAGAGCAAGAAGUAACAUAAGCAGCAUGAAAAAGCAAGGAAGAAAAGGAGUACAAACAAUGCAGGACAGCAUAAAUAUACAGGAGGACCUAGAGGCAUCAGAAAAAUGGCCAAAUAAAGAACUCAAAGAAUACCUUAGACAGAUGGAAUGGAAUCUUAGAGAGGAUAUGAGACAGCAAAUUCAAACAAUGAAAGAACUCAUUGAAAAUGAAAUACACAAGCAAAUAAAAGAAGCAAAUAAGCAUCUUUAUCAGGAGAUAGAGAUUAUAAAAAAAAUCAAACAAUAAUUUUAGAAAUGAAGGAAACUAUAACCCAAAUUAAAAACUCAAUUGAGAGUAUCACCAACAGAGUGGAGCAAGUAGAAGCCAGAACGUCAGAUAAUGAAGACAAAAUAUAUCAUCUUGAAAAGAGUCUAGCCAACUCAGGAAGGCUGGUAAAAAAUCACGAGAAAAACAUCCAAGAGAUAUGGGAUAACAUAAAAAAAAACAAACUUAAGAGUCAUCGGGAUAGAGGAAGGCAUAGAGGUUCAAACCAAGGGAAUGAACAACCUGUUGAAUGAAAUAAUUAUAGAAAACUUUCCAGACAUAAAAAAGGAAAUGGAUGUACAAAUUGUAGAUGCAUACAGGACACCGAGCAUACAAAAUCACAGUAGACCAACGCCAAGACACAUUGUUAUGAAGAUAUCCAAUAUACAGAACAAAGAGAAAAUAUUAAAAG
rnacentral:lncRNA from 1 species